GUCUACGGCCACACCUAGGCGAAAACACCAGUUCCCGUCCGAUCACUGCAGUUAAGCGUCUGAGGGCCUCGUUAGUACUAUGGUUGGAGACAACAUGGGAAUCCGGGGUGCUGUAGGCUUUU
rnacentral:rRNA from 1 species